AAAUCAUUCGGCACGACAGGGUCCACUCGAUCGGUCACGUUUAUUUUUUAAUACUACGGUUUUCAUAGAUUUUGUAUCAUGCAUUAAGAGAUUAUAUUGCUUUACAUGUGUGGGUUCACUGAAUGAACUAUUUACAUAUUUAUACGAGGACAUUAUAAAGAUGUUUAUAUUAUGUACAUGAGAUAUAUUAUUAUUAAAUGGUAAUUAAACCAG
rnacentral:lncRNA from 1 species